rnacentral:rRNA from 1 species
GAAAGAAAGAUUAAUACCCGAUGGCAUAAUAGAACCGCAUGGUUUGAUUAUUAAAGAAUUUCGGUUAUCGAUGGGGAUGCGUUCCAUUAGGCAGUUGGUGGGGUAACGGCCCACCAAACCUUCGAUGGAUAGGGGUUCUGAGAGGAAGGUCCCCCACAUUGGAACUGAGACGCGGUCCAAACUCCUACGGGAGGCAGCAGUGAGGAAUAUUGGUCAAUGGACGAGAGUCUGAACCAGCCAAGUAGCGUGAAGGAUGACUGCCCUAUGGGUUGUAAACUUCUUUUAUAUGGGAAUAAAGUGGUCCACGUGUGGAUUUUUGUAUGUACCAUAUGAAUAAGGAUCGGCUAACUCCGUGCCAGCAGCCGCGGUAAUACGGAGGAUCCGAGCGUUAUCCGGAUUUAUUGGGUUUAAAGAGAGCGUAGGUGGACAGUUAAGUCAGUUGUGAAAGUUUGCGGCUCAACCGUAAAAUUGCAGUUGAUACUGGCUGUCUUGAGUACAGUAGAGGUGGGCGGAAUUCGUGGUGUAGCGGUGAAAUGCUUAGAUAUCACGAAGAACUCCGAUUGCGAAGGCAGCUCACUGGACUGCAACUGACACUGAUGCUCGAAAGUGUGGGUAUCAAACAGGAUUAGAUACCCUGGUAGUCCACACAGUAAACGAUGAAUACUCGCUGUUUGCGAUAUACAGUAAGCGGC